GUACCUCUGGCUCCUCGUUCUCACUUAGUUUAUGUUUAUUGUCAUUUUUCUCCCUCGCAUUUCUACCGAGCUGAGUAUUCUCUGACUUAACUGACCUCCCACUACGUUCUUGGAAAUACAGAGUCUGACCGGUCCACGCAGCUCUGUUCCUGUAGAAAAUACAAAAUUGGGGAAUCCAUCCACACUCCUCCAGGAAAUGCUGGCAACCAUAAUGACUCGCAAAGCAGUACCAGAAAGGAGUGGCCAUGAAGUGGUUCUGAGGUGCUGAGCUGGAGAAGAUUUUGCCUCUGUUGUUCCAGGAUGAAUCAAAUACUUUCAAGAUAAUUUGCCAGCCUCCAUUUUGUCUUCAAAAUGGCUGUUCAAAUACUGAAAUUCCUGGGCACCCAGAGGUAAACUACAAAGCGGCCUUGUACGAUUUACAAUACACAGCAUCCAUUGAUGGAUAAUGGAGUAUGAAGACUGUUGCAAUAAGGCCCUGGCUAUUUCCUUGGUUCCUUUGCAGCAGGCAUGGAUGCAGCUGAAGAUUAAAGCUUCGGUUCAAGCACGAAGGAUAGCUGAAGUCUACUUAGCUGAAGGUCAGAGAUCCAGAUGUGAAUGCAAAAAAGCCAACCAAAGGCUCCAGCCGUAGGACACUCGGACCCAAACAGCCAGUUUUGUUUGUAACUGCCUCCGUUACUGCUUUUGAAAGAGCACCCUUUUUCCUGCUUGGUACAGAAAAAGCACAGCACAUCUCUGCAAGAAAUCAAAGGUGUUGUGGCUGAGCAUCAGGGGAGCCACGGGACACCACGGGAAGACCAUGUCCAGCGUGGCAGGGAAAGGCAGACCGUCUAGAGGGAGAGACGGGGAGCCCCUUCGUGCCAGGUACCACCUGUAAAGGGGGGCAGAGCCCUGGGGCUGGUCCGCCUGUC